GUCUCUACACUCAGAGUUUACAUUGGAGAGC
rnacentral:piRNA from 1 species